ensembl:snoRNA
GUUUGUUGAAAAUAACCCCCAGCUCUGGCCUCAGUCUCGGUUGAGAUUUGGGGCCUAGAGGCCCAGGAGCCUUAGCUCGCUGCCCACUGCAGGUGUGGAGGGUGAACUGGACUGACUGCCUGGCCCCACAAGC